rnacentral:tRNA from 1 species
GCGUGUGUAGUAGAGUGGCUUUGCCCCUGGCUUCCACCCAGGAGAUAAGGGUUCGAUUCCCUUCACCCGCACCA